rnacentral:lncRNA from 1 species
GGGGGGGGGGGGCUAGGAUGAAAUUUGAAAAAAAUAGGCAGGACAGGAGUUUUGAGUAAAAAAAAAGGCAGGAUGAGACACUUGCAAAAAAAAAAAGUCAGGAUAAACUAAAAAAAAAAAGGCAGGACCGAACAGAGUGAAAAAUAAAAAUGCAGGACAAAGAUUACAGCUAAAAAAAAAUGCAGGACAAAAUUUUUCAUCCUAGCCCCCCCCCCC